ensembl:lncRNA
UUGAGAUGUUUUCAAGACCUAUACAGAGAUGGCACAUUUUGUAACUAUAUACAAGUAUCUUCUGAUUUGGGAUUGUCAGAGUUCCACUUGUAUCGGUUUUUGCAGAUUAGACACUGUUCUGCUACCUUGUUUUCUAGUUACCCAUCUCUGCCCCCAAGGCAAGUUUGGGAAGAAUUUCUGCAAUUCAGUCCACAUCACAAGUCACAAAUUGCAAGAAUUUAUGGUUGUAUUUUAGAUUUAAAUGACUGUUCUAUUGAAAAAAAUAAAAGAGCUUGGAAGUCAGAAUUGGAGGAAACUUUUGAAGAGGACUGGUUGGUGGGUGCACUGGACAGAAUACGUUCCAAUACAAUUUGUGCAUGUCUUGGCCUCAUACAAUUUAAAGUACUGUACAGGAUUCAUUUUUCCAAGGCCAGGUUAUCUGAAAUAUUUCCUAAUAUUGAAGACCGAUGCGACAGAUGUCAUGCUUCUAUGUGCAAUUUGAGUUAUAUGUUUUUCACUUGCCCUGUGUUGAAAAAAAAUUGGGUCAAUUAUUUUACAACCAUGUCUAUAGUGUUAAAAGUUAGAAUUGGUAUUUGCCCCGCUAUAGCAAUCUUUGGGAUACCAAAAAUUUGGUCUCAGUUUAAUUCAAAACAAUUAGAUAUUUUAUCCUUUACUUCUUUGUUAGCUAGGCGCCAUAUUCUGCUCCACUGGAAAUCUAAUAUUCCUCCAACUACCUCCCAAUGGCUAGUGGAUACCAUAUUUUUUUUUGAAACUGGAAAAAGUAAGAUGUUCUGGGAAAAGUAAUUUUUAUAAUAAAUGGGGUCCCUUUAUGGAUUACUCAAUAUGGUCUCUCAAUAUUCUACCUCCUAGUUAAUAUUUUUUUUUUUUUGUUACUGGUUAUGCAUUAUGUUUAGGUUAAGUCUUAAAAUGUAAAAAUGUGUUACAUUUGUAAUCUAUUUUCUUGUAAUAAUAUUUGCUCUAAUAAAAAAUUUGAACAUAGAAAUACCAAGGGUUCACACAAAACAAGGGGAGACGGCUUUUAGUUAUUAUGCCGCACGCAGUUGGAAUCAGCU